GAUGAACGCUAGCGGCAGGCCUAACACAUGCAAGUCGAGGGGCAUCAUGGCGUAGCAAUACGCUGAUGGCGACCGGCGCACGGGUGCGUAACGCGUAUGGAACCUACCCACCGCAGGGGGAUAACCCGCCGAAAGGCGGACUAAUACCCCAUGGUUCCCCGACCCUGCCUGGGGUUGGGGGUAAAGCCUACGGGCGGCGGUGGAUGGCCCUGCGUGCCAUUAGCUGGCUGGUGGGGUAACGGCCCACCAGGGCGACGAUGGCUAGGGGGUCUGAGAGGACGAUCCCCCACACUGGUACUGAGACACGGACCAGACUCCUACGGGAGGCAGCAGUGAGGAAUAUUGCGCAAUGGGGGCAACCCUGACGCAGCAACGCCGCGUGAGUGAGGAAGGUUUUCGGACCGUAAAGCUCUGUCGAGCGGGAAGAAAUGCAUGGUGGCUAAUAUCCAUCAUGCUUGACGGUACCGCUAAAGGAAGCACCGGCUAACUCCGUGCCAGCAGCCGCGGUAA
rnacentral:rRNA from 1 species